CCCCCGGUUCCUGGCCGCGCGGCCGCAGGCGGUGCAGGCCCUGCUGCCGUCGGGGGACAGCGUGGAGAGCCGGCUGCUGGGCCUGGUGGAGUGCCGCGGGCACCACGCGAUCUAUGUGUACACCCACCGGCGGAUGGCCAUCACAGCUGAGGACGUCUGGCUGGAGAGAGUGAUCCCCAUCACAGAUGAGUUUGCAGUGGAAGAAGUUGUACUGGACAGUGACCUUCACGUCAUUGGCUCGGACGUGACUGUGCAGAUCGGCUCAGCAGACGAUCGGCUGACAGUGCAGCUGCCCUUC
rnacentral:lncRNA from 1 species